rnacentral:rRNA from 1 species
GUGGGGAAUAUUAGGCAAUGGGCGAAAGCCUGACCUAGCAACGCCGCGUGAAGGAAGAAGGCCUUCGGGUUGUAAACUUCUUUUAUGAGGGACGAAGGACGUGACGGUACCUCAUGAAUAAGCCACGGCUAACUACGUGCCAGCAGCCGCGGUAAUACGUAGGUGGCGAGCGUUGUCCGGAUUUACUGGGUGUAAAGGGCGCGUAGGCGGACUGGCAAGUCAGAUGUGAAAUACAGGGGCUCAACCCCUGAACUGCAUUUGAAACUGUUGGUCUUGAGUAUCGGAGAGGCAAGCGGAAUUCCUAGUGUAGCGGUGAAAUGCGUAGAUAUUAGGAGGAACACCAGUGGCGAAGGCGGCUUGCUGGACGACAACUGACGCUGAGGCGCGAAAGCGUGGGGAGCAAACAGGAUUAGAUACCCGUGUAGUCC